rnacentral:rRNA from 1 species
GACGUAGGGCGCGAGCGUUGUCCGGAUUUAUUGGGCGUAAAGAGCUCGUAGGCGGCUUGUCGCGUCGUCUGUGAAAUCCCGCGGCUCAACUGCGGGACUGCAGUCGAUACGGGCAGGCUAGAGUUCGGUAGGGGAGACUGGAAUUCCUGGUGUAGCGGUGAAAUGCGCAGAUAUCAGGAGGAACACCGGUGGCGAAGGCGGGUCUCUGGGCCGUAACUGACGCUGAGGAGCGAAAGCGUGGGGAGCGAACAGG